AGCGGGAAGUAGUUUACUACUUUGCCGGCGAGCGGCGGACGGGUGAGUAAUGUCUGGGAAACUGCCUGAUGGAGGGGGAUAACUACUGGAAACGGUAGCUAAUACCGCAUAACGUCUUCGGACCAAAGUGGGGGACCUUCGGGCCUCACGCCAUCGGAUGUGCCCAGAUGGGAUUAGCUAGUAGGUGGGGUAAUGGCUCACCUAGGCGACGAUCCCUAGCUGGUCUGAGAGGAUGACCAGCCACACUGGAACUGAGACACGGUCCAGACUCCUACGGGAGGCAGCAGUGGGGAAUAUUGCACAAUGGGCGCAAGCCUGAUGCAGCCAUGCCGCGUGUGUGAAGAAGGCCUUCGGGUUGUAAAGCACUUUCAGCGAGGAGGAAGGCCAAUAACUUAAUACGUUGUUGGAUUGACGUUACUCGCAGAAGAAGCACCGGCUAACUCCGUGCCAGCAGCCGCGGUAAUACGGAGGGUGCAAGCGUUAAUCGGAAUUACUGGGCGUAAAGCGCACGCAGGCGGUUUGUUAAGUCAGAUGUGAAAUCCCCGCGCUUAACGUGGGAACUGCAUUUGAAACUGGCAAGCUAGAGUCUUGUAGAGGGGGGUAGAAUUCCAGGUGUAGCGGUGAAAUGCGUAGAGAUCUGGAGGAAUACCGGUGGCGAAGGCGGCCCCCUGGACAAAGACUGACGCUCAGGUGCGAAAGCGUGGGGAGCAAACA
rnacentral:rRNA from 1 species